rnacentral:misc_RNA from 1 species
AGAACAUACAAAGUUACAAGAGCAACCCAUGCCAACAAUCCCAACAAACUAGAUUCCCAAAUUAAUAGAGGACUCACAAAGUCCAUCGACUCUCAUAAAUCAUCAAAUUAUUCAUACUCAACCCUAACACCUCCUCGCCCUGAGCUCACCUUACAGACCUUCAGUGAAUGCAACUCCGGUGGCCUUCAGCCAAGACCCGCCCUGAAUCAGCCCCGCCACCGUGAACGACUGCGCCACCUUCGGGUCGGUGAUCACCUUAUACCCUCGCCAAUUCACCCUCCUCGCCGUUCCUGCCCCCGGCCCCCG